rnacentral:rRNA from 1 species
GACGAACUCUGGCGGCGUGCUUAACACAUGCAAGUCGAACGGUAAGGCUCCAGCUUGCUGGGGUACACGAGUGGCGAACGGGUGAGUAACACGUGGGUGACCUGCCCUGCACCUCGGGAUAAGCCUGGGAAACUGGGUCUAAUACCGGAUAGGACCGCACCGUGAGGGUGUGGUGGAAAGUUUUUUCGGUGUGGGAUGGGCCCGCGGCCUAUCAGCUUGUUGGUGGGGUAAUGGCCUACCAAGGCGGCGACGGGUAGCCGGCCUGAGAGGGUGGACGGCCACAUUGGGACUGAGACACGGCCCAGACUCCUACGGGAGGCAGCAGUGGGGAAUAUUGCACAAUGGGCGGAAGCCUGAUGCAGCGACGCCGCGUGGGGGAUGACGGCCUUCGGGUUGUAAACUCCUUUCACCAUCGACGAAGGGUUUCUGACGGUAGAUGGAGAAGAAGCACCGGCUAACUACGUGCCAGCAGCCGCGGUAAUACGUAGGGUGCGAGCGUUGUCCGGAAUUACUGGGCGUAAAGAGCUCGUAGGUGGUUUGUCGCGUCGUCUGUGAAAUUCCGGGGCUUAACUCCGGGCGUGCAGGCGAUACGGGCAUAACUUGAGUACUGUAGGGGAGACUGGAAUUCCUGGUGUAGCGGUGAAAUGCGCAGAUAUCAGGAGGAACACCGGUGGCGAAGGCGGGUCUCUGGGCAGUAACUGACGCUGAGGAGCGAAAGCAUGGGGAGCGAACAGGAUUAGAUACCCUGGUAGUCCAUGCCGUAAACGGUGGGCGCUAGGUGUGGGUUUCCUUCCACGGGAUCCGUGCCGUAGCUAACGCAUUAAGCGCCCCGCCUGGGGAGUACGGCCGCGAGGCUAAAACUCAAAGGAAUUGACGGGGGCCCGCACAAGCGGCGGAGCAUGUGGAUUAAUUCGAUGCAACGCGAAGAACCUUACCUGGGCUUGACAUAUACAGGAUCGCGCCAGAGAUGGUGUUUCCCUUGUGGCUUGUAUACAGGUGGUGCAUGGUUGUCGUCAGCUCGUGUCGUGAGAUGUUGGGUUAAGUCCCGCAACGAGCGCAACCCUUGUCUUAUGUUGCCAGCACGUUGUGGUGGGGACUCGUAAGAAACUGCCGGGGUUAACUCGGAGGAAGGUGGGGAUGACGUCAAAUCAUCAUGCCCCUUAUGUCCAGGGCUUCACACAUGCUACAAUGGUCGGUACAGUGGGUUGCCAGUCCGUGAGGGCGAGCUAAUCCCGCAAAGCCGGUCUCAGUUCGGAUCGGGGUCUGCAACUCGACCCCGUGAAGUCGGAGUCGCUAGUAAUCGCAGAUCAGCAACGCUGCGGUGAAUACGUUCCCGGGCCU